rnacentral:SRP_RNA from 1 species
GCCGGGCAUUGUGGCGUGUGCCUGUAAUCCCAGCUACUCAGGAGGCUGAGGCAGGAGAAUUGCUUGAACUCAGGAGGUGGAGGUUGCAGUGAGCUGAGAUCACGCCACUGCACUCCAGCCUGAGCAACAGAGCAAGACUCCAUCUCAA